UACUGCAGUCGAGCGGACAGAAGGGAGCUUGCUCCCGGAUGUUAGCGGCGGACGGGUGAGUAACACGUGGGUAACCUGCCUGUAAGACUGGGAUAACUCCGGGAAACCGGAGCUAAUACCGGAUAGUUCCUUGAACCGCAUGGUUCAAGGAUGAAAGACGGUUUCGGCUGUCACUUACAGAUGGACCCGCGGCGCAUUAGCUAGUUGGUGGGGUAAUGGCUCACCAAGGCGACGAUGCGUAGCCGACCUGAGAGGGUGAUCGGCCACACUGGGACUGAGACACGGCCCAGACUCCUACGGGAGGCAGCAGUAGGGAAUCUUCCGCAAUGGACGAAAGUCUGACGGAGCAACGCCGCGUGAGUGAUGAAGGUUUUCGGAUCGUAAAGCUCUGUUGUUAGGGAAGAACAAGUGCGAGAGUAACUGCUCGCACCUUGACGGUACCUAACCAGAAAGCCACGGCUAACUACGUGCCAGCAGCCGCGGUAAUACGUAGGUGGCAAGCGUUGUCCGGAAUUAUUGGGCGUAAAGGGCUCGCAGGCGGUUUCUUAAGUCUGAUGUGAAAGCCCCCGGCUCAACCGGGGAGGGUCAUUGGAAACUGGGAAACUUGAGUGCAGAAGAGGAGAGUGGAAUUCCACGUGUAGCGGUGAAAUGCGUAGAGAUGUGGAGGAACACCAGUGGCGAAGGCGACUCUCUGGUCUGUAACUGACGCUGAGGAGCGAAAGCGUGGGGAGCGAACAGGAUUAGAUACCCUGGUAGUCCACGCCGUAAACGAUGAGUGCUAAGUGUUAGGGGGUUUCCGCCCCUUAGUGCUGCAGCUAACGCAUUAAGCACUCCGCCUGGGGAGUACGGUCGCAAGACUGAAACUCAAAGGAAUUGACGGGGGCCCGCACAAGCGGUGGAACAUGU
rnacentral:rRNA from 2 species